AUUGAACGCUGGCGGAAUGCUUAACACAUGCAAGUCGAACGGCAGCAUGGUGUGUAGCAAUACACACUGAUGGCAAGUGGCGGACGGGUGAGUGACGCGUAGGGAUCUACCCUGUAGUGGGGGACAACCCGGGGAAACUCGGGCUAAUACCGCAUACUACUCUGAGGAGGAAAGCUGGCUCGCAAGAGCUGGCGCUAUGGGAGGAACCUGCGUCCGAUUAGCUAGCUGGUGAGGUAAAAGCUCACCAGGGCGAUGAUCGGUAGCUGGUCUGAGAGGAUGACCAGCCACACUGGGACUGAGACACGGCCCAGACUCCUACGGGAGGCAGCAGUGGGGAAUAUUGGACAAUGGGGGCAACCCUGAUCCAGCAAUUCCGCGUGUGUGAAGAAGGCCUUCGGGUUGUAAAGCACUUUGGACGGGGAAGAAGGCAUUCUGUUUAAGAGAUGGGAUGUUUGACGGUACCCGUAGAACAAGCACCGGCUAACUCUGUGCCAGCCGCCGCCGUAA
rnacentral:rRNA from 1 species